AUGCUCGCUUCAGCAGCACACACACUAAAACUGGAACAAUACAGAGAAUAUUAGCAUGGCCCUCACACAAGGAUGACACAUAAAAGUUAGAAAACAAUAGGAAAUUU